AGCAAAUGGGAAAUGUGUCUCUAUAUCAUUAUGCUGAAAUCUAUCUCUUUGUUACAGGCUUUCAGAAGCUGCUGGAUCCUCUUCACUCUGGCUUGCUGAUAGUUUUAUCUUGCAGCAUUAUUCUGAACGUUGCUCUCAUUUGUAUAAGAUGUAAACUGACCUGUACACACUGUGCAGAUGAAAAGAACAGUGAUAUAUCAAAAGUGGAAUGGUCACGCAAGCAAUGCCAUGACGAGGACACACUGAAUUACGCUGCCCUGAACCUUAAGAAGCCAAAACCCAGGAGACAGAAGAAAGACGGGAAUAAUGAC